UACGUAGGGUGCGAGCGUUGUCCGGAAUCACUGGGCGUAAAGGGCGCGUAGGUGGCGCCGCAAGUCCAUGGUGAAAGCUCGAUGCUCAACAUCGAGUUCGGCCACGGAGACUGCGGGGCUCGAGCACUGUAGGGGCGAGCGGAAUUCCGGGUGUAGCGGUGGAAUGCGUAGAGAUCCGGAAGAACACCGGGGGCGAAGGGCGGCUCGCUGGGCAUGGUCCGACGCUGAGGCGGCGAAAGCGUGGGGAGCGAACAGG
rnacentral:rRNA from 1 species